AGAGUUUGAUCCUGGCUCAGGAUAAACGCUGGCGGCGCACAUAAGACAUGCAAGUCGAACGAACUUAACUCAUUCUUUACGAUUGAGAGCGGUUAGUGGCGGACUGGUGAGUAACACGUAAGCAAUCUGCCUAUUAGAGGGGAAUAACACUGAGAAAUCAGUGCUAAUACCGCAUAAGCCACAAACAUCGCAUGAUGAAAGUGGGAAAGGAGCAAUCCGCUAAUAGAUGAGCUUGCGUCUGAUUAGUUAGUUGGUGGGGUAACGGCCUACCAAGACGACGAUCAGUAGCCGGACUGAGAGGUCGAUCGGCCACAUUGGAACUGAGACACGGUCCAAACUCCUACGGGAGGCAGCAGUAAGGAAUUUUCGGCAAUGGGGGAAACCCUGACCGAGCAACGCCGCGUGAGUGAUGACGGCCCUUUGGGUUGUAAAGCUCUGUUGUAAGAGACGAAUUGCUCAGGGAGGAAAUGCCUUGAGUUUGACGGUAUCUUACCAGAAAGCCACGGCUAACUACGUGCCAGCAGCCGCGGUAAUACGUAGGUGGCAAGCGUUAUCCGGAAUUAUUGGGCGUAAAGAGUGAGCAGGCGGCAGUUUAAGUCUGAGUUUAAAGAAUGGGGCUCAACCCCAUAAAGGCUUGGAAACUGAACAGCUAGAGUGCGAGAGAGGUAAGUGGAACUCCAUGUGUAGCGGUGAAAUGCGUAGAUAUAUGGAAGAACACCUGUGGCGAAGGCGGCUUACUAGCUCGAUACUGACGCUCAGUCACGAAAGCGUGGGUAGCAAAUAGGAUUAGAUACCCUAGU
rnacentral:rRNA from 1 species